UAUACAAUUAUCCACCUUGUCCGAAAGUCUCUACUUGGUCUCCGUUCUCCAGUAAACUUGUGAUCAUCAACAGGCAUCAGAGGGUUUGUGCCUAUCAUCAUCAUCAUCAUCAUAAUAGAGAGCUGAUCCUCUGCAAACAUUUCCCACUCUCUUUCACACACACACAUCCACACUAACCCUGUUCUCCGUGGCAUGUCUCUUGGUGUCCUCAGGAACAGUGAUCUGUGACGCAUGCAGUCUGGCUGCUGAGGGAGAGGCAGACAUCCAGAACAACUUCUGCAAGAGUCCAUAUGCCUUUAAACUGCGUAUCGGGAGUGUGUCUGUGGAGGGGGGUGACUGCAGGUUAGUCCUCUGGGCCGGAGUCGCAUCCUGAGGUGCAAGGGCGGAGGCGCGGAGAGGGCCGAGGGGGGGGCAAUGGCCUACAGUGCCUUUUGGCUGCAGGAGGGGGGUACCUGCACCUGUCCUGCCCUGGAGGAGGCGAAGGGAGAGGGGAAGGGGUCCCUGGCAGGGUUGUGGUACCUGGGCCACGCUGACACACAGGAGGGCAGGCUGGUCCUCUCUAGGCUGGUGAUCUGGAGGAGGGGGGGCAAAGAACUCAAGAAGUUCAUCAGGAGACUGCUCAAACAACCCUGCUGAUGAUGUCAUCAAACAAUCAUAGAGAGACUUUCCAAUUUGGCCAAUUGGAUGCGGAUGAGAGGACACCACAGCCCUGUUACAUUUCAGCCCCUAGGCCUAGAUCCUAUCCCUUCCAUAUCCCUUUAAUAUUUAUUUCAUAUUCAUAUCAUCUAGCUCUGGAGAAGUGGUGCCUUCAUCAUAUCUAUCCAGUCUGUUCAGAUCUAUGAAGACCUGUGGGGAAGGGGCUAGGCAGAAGGGAGACCAUCAGAGGACCAGUGUUUGUUUGUUUGGGUCCAUGUUCUGGACACCUGUCACAUAUGAAUUAUGAAGUUGAGGUUGUUUUUUAUCAAAUGUGAGGACAUGAUUAUGAUUUGUGUGAGCCGAGUCAGAGGACACAGUUACCAGUGAGGCACAGAGCAGCAUUAGUUCCAUUCAAAGCAGAGUAUUAUUGUCUGAUAGUAGAGACUGAUCAGAGACUGCUGUUUAACAGUGUCUAAUAAACAUUAUAUUGAGCUGUAAA